rnacentral:pre_miRNA from 12 species
GAUAUUUAAGGAGAGGUUAUCUGUGUUCUGUUCACUUCAUUCAUCAUAAAUAAUACAUGGAUAACCUCUUUCUGAAUAUC